rnacentral:rRNA from 1 species
UACGAAGGGGGCAAGCGUUGCUCGGAAUCACUGGGCGUAAAGCUGCACGUAGGCGGCUUCUUAAGUCAGGGGUGAAAUCCUGGAGCUCAACUCCAGAACUGCCUUUGAUACUGAGGAGCUCGAGUCCGGGAGAGGUGAGUGGAACUCCGAGUGUAAGAGGUGAAAUUCGUAGAUAUUCGGGAAGAACACCAGUGGCGAAGGGCCGGACGACCUGGGUAGAUACUGACGCUGAGG